UGUGAAAGGAGGGAUUUUGUGUGGUGCUUUGUAAAUCGCUCUGUGGAACAAAUUUGAUUCCCACGAUAACAAUCCCUGAAACUAAUGAUAAACAACAAAAAAAGAAUCCGAAAGAGCGAGAACCUUGAUGUUUCAAUGUAUGACAAUCCAGCUUUAUUGCAUGUAAGAAGUUCUUGGUGAUAUUCUCACAACGGCCAUUCAGAAUGGAUCGACGGAUGUAAAUAAAAGAUCAUUAAGAUAAAAUUAACGCGACGACAUGUUAGUAAGCUCAAAACGAUUAUUGUAUUUGCAACUGUUAAUUUAAAUAGUUGAGCUAAGGGUUAGUCAUUGUACAGGGUGUCCGUAAAUUAUCCGAACAGCAAAAUAUGGGAAAGAUGAUCUCGUAUUGAAAACAAUAAAAAAUCUAUAUCCAUGUACCUUUUUACAUACAUCUAUAUGUUAACACAAAUUACACCUUUGAAUAAUUUCGAAAUUGUUGCUUCUUACUGAGAUAGACAAAUUUGAAUUUUUCGGAGGCGUUUUUCCUGAGGGCCGCUAGUCAUACUAGAGAUGCUUUGUCCCUAAAAUUUAAAAGAGAUGAAUCCAAAUGUUCUAUUAUUUUUUGAAGCAACCUACUGUUUAGUGACUUCAAGUUAGACUGGAAAUAGAAAAUUAUACGGUUCAAAUCCAAUGAGUUCUGUGGACAUUUCUCUUCCGUCAUAAAGCUCGAAAAACAGCUCCCUUCAAGACACCUCAACACAUUUGGCUUGGUUUUAAAAAUAUUUAAAAUCGGAAAUGUAUCAAACCUACUGCCUAAAUAAUAAAAUAGGUUAAUGUUUUAAACCAUGCAAGAAUACUGAAUUUAUUCUGCUUGAUUGCAUAGAGCCAUGCCUUCAAAGUUUGUACGGAUAAUUUGCGGACACCCUGUAUAUAACUUUAUAGAUAAGCAGAAGUAAAGCACGAACGCGAAUCCAUCCCAUCUUCAAAUGCACAACACUUCAUUCUGAAACUUUAGAACGUCCAUGUUGUAACUUGUUCACACAAGAAAUCUGCCUCGACCGAGUUGGCAGAACGCGCCCAUACCCCUUUCUGAACCAAAGGACAGAGAACUAAUACCAUGAUACCUUAACUACAAAUACAAAAGCUACUUCUAUGUUAUUUCCACUACUACGCUCACAGUAAUUAUGUUAUGAUCGUUAGAAUAAAAACGAUAGAGUAGUGCAAGAAUGCUUAGAGAAUUAAAUUUGUUAUAAAUUACAGCAUUUUGUUCAACAAUAUUAUAUUAUAUUAUAAAAAGAUAGUUAAAAAUGAAACAUUUUAGUAACAACA